CCUACGGGAGGCAGCAGUAGGGAAUCUUCCGCAAUGGACGAAAGUCUGACGGAGCAACGCCGCGUGAACGAUGAAGGCCUUCGGGUCGUAAAGUUCUGUCGUUAGGGAAGAACAAGUGUUAGUUGAAUAAGCUGGCACCUUGACGGUACCUAACCAGAAAGCCACGGCUAACUACGUGCCAGCAGCCGCGGUAAUACGUAGGUGGCAAGCGUUGUCCGGAAUUAUUGGGCGUAAAGCGCGCGCAGGCGGUUUCUUAAGUCUGAUGUGAAAGCCCCCGGCUCAACCGGGGAGGGUCAUUGGAAACUGGGAAACUUGAGUGCAGAAGAGGAAAGUGGAAUUCCAAGUGUAGCGGUGAAAUGCGUAGAGAUUUGGAGGAACACCAGUGGCGAAGGCGACUUUCUGGUCUGUAACUGACGCUGAGGCGCGAAAGCGUGGGGAGCAAACAGGAUUAGAUACCCUGGUAGUCCACGCUGUAAACGAUGAGUGCUAAGUGUUAGAGGGUUUUCCGGCCCUUUAGUGCUGAAGUUAACGGCAUUAAGCNCUCCGCCGUGGGGAGGUACGGUCGGCGAAGACUGAAACUACAAAGGAAAGUUAGACGG
rnacentral:rRNA from 1 species